rnacentral:ncRNA from 1 species
UGUAAGGGUUAGACUGUUUGUCUAGUGAAGUGCUACGUGAGCUGGGUUCAGUACGACAUGAGUCAGUAUGGCUUAUAUCUUCAGGAAAGAGGGAUAAUAUAUUCAUAAGAUCUCCUAGUACAAAAGGAUUGGUAGAUGGUGAUCCUCUAGUUUUUCUUUUGUUUUACAAGUAAGAAAGUAAGGCAUAGAAGAGUAGCUACAAUCAGGUAUUUAAGUAUUGAAAGCAUAUCAAAUACGAAAACCAAUGAAGCGUUAUCUAAGUGAAAAAUCUUAUCUCGGACCAUAUCACUCCACUUGCCCAUCUUGCUCUA